UACGUAGGGUGCAAGCGUUGUCCGGAAUUAUUGGGCGUAAAGAGCUCGUAGGCGGUUCGUCGCGUCGGCUGUGAAAUCCCGAGGCUCAACCUCGGGUCUGCAGUCGAUACGGGCGGACUGGAGUACUGCAGGGGAGACUGGAAUUCCUGGUGUAGCGGUGAAAUGCGCAGAUAUCAGGAGGAACACCGAUGGCGAAGGCAGGUCUCUGGGCUGUAACUGACGCUGAGGAGCGAAAGCAUGGGGAGCGAACAGG
rnacentral:rRNA from 1 species